UACAGAGGGGGCAAGCGUUGUUCGGAAUUACUGGGCGUAAAGGGCGCGUAGGCGGCCUGCUAAGUCGAACGUGAAAUCCCUGGGCUCAACCCAGGAACUGCGUCCGAUAUGUGGUCGUUGAAUCCGGGAGAGGGAUGUGGAAUUCCAGGUGUAGCGGUGAAAUGCGUAGAUAUCUGGAGGAACACCGGUGGCGAAGGCGACAUCCUGGACCGGCAUUGACGCUGAGGCGCGAAAGCCAGGGGGAGCA
rnacentral:rRNA from 1 species